rnacentral:lncRNA from 1 species
AGCUCUAAGCUGGUUCCAGGCUCUAGCCAGGACCUGACUACAACCUACUUAGCAGUGAAGGAGGACCCAUAUUAAGAUAUGCCAGGAAACAGAGCCAAUGGAAAACCAGCAUAGACAGGAACUGUUCAAGACAGAAUAGUUUAAAAGAGGAUGGACAAUUUUAUGGGCCGUAUUGAAGAAGUUUGAGAGGGCAGAGAAACGGAAAUAUUACGUUGCACCGGGUUAUGAAGAAGGAGGAAGGGGCCAAUUCCCGCCAAACCAUCCUGGAGUCCAGUUGCAGGUGACCACAUGUUUGGCUCUGGAACAGGUAGGUGGCAGGUAGCAGCAGUGGGAGUGGCAGAACUAUAGGGCUGCAGGCUCCACCCCAAAACUCUCUCAGUGCUAACAGUGAAACCUGAGCAACCAUGUUUCAGGCUGGGUGGGGCAGGUUACACCCUUCCCCUCCCCUUUGUCUAUAUGAGGUUGCUCCCCCAACUCUCCUGCCCCACUGCUCCAGCAUCCUCCUAUGCUAGGGCAUCAAACCUCCCUGAGACCAAGGGUCUCUCUUCUCAUUGCUGUCAGGCAAGGCCAUCUUCUGCUACAUAUGUAUCUGGAGUCAUGAAUCCCUCCAGGUACACUCCUUGGUUGGUGGUCUAGUCAAUGGGAGAACUGGGUGAUCAGGCCAGUCUAUGCUGCUCUUCCAAUGGAGUUGCAAUCCCCAUCCACUUUAAUUUUUUUCUUUAAACUUGCUUUGUGUUGCUUGUUUGAGGCAUAAAUUUAACAAUGUUUACAGAAGAC